AAACUCCGAAUGCCAUCCAUUCAUCUCUGGGAGUCAGACUGUGAGUGAUAAGAUCCAUAGUCGAAAGGGAAACAGCCCAGACCACCAGCUAAGGUCCCCAAAUAACUAUUAAGUGGAAAAGGAUGUGGGGUUGCACAGACAACUAGGAUGUUGGCUCAGAAGCAGCCACCAUUUAAAGAGUGCGUAAUAGCUCACUAGUCGAGUGACCCUGCGCCGAAAAUGUACCGGGGCUAAAUAGUUUACCGAAGCUGUGGAGCACACCAUAAGGUGUGUUGGUAGGGAGAGCGUUCUAAGGGCGUUGAAGGUAGAUCGUGAGGACUGCUGGAGCGCUUAGAAGUGAGAAUGCCGGUAUGAGUAGCGAAAGACAGGUGAGAAUCCUGUCCACCGAAUGACUAAGGUUUCCUGGGGAAGGCUCGUCCGCCCAGGGUUAGUCGGGACCUAAGCCGAGGCCGAAAGGCGUAGGCGAUGGAUAACAGGUUGAUAUUCCUGUACCCGUUGUUUUUGUUUGAGCAAUGGAGGGACGCAGGAGGCUAAGGAAUCAGACGAUUGGAAAUGUCUGUCCAAGCAACAAGUCUUGAUGUGAGUCAAAUGCUUACGUCUAUAAGGACAAGUUGUGAUGGGGAGGGAAAUAAUAGUACCGAAGUUCCCGAUGUCACACUGCCGAGAAAAGCUUCUAGUGAGAAAACAAUGGCCCGUACCGCAAACCGACACAGGUAGUCGAGGAGAGAAUCCUAAGGUGAGCGAGAGAACUCUCGUUAAGGAACUCGGCAAAAUGACCCCGUAACUUCGGGAGAAGGGGUGCUGAUCUAACGAUCAGCCGCAGUGAAUAGGCCCAAGCGACUGUUUAUCAAAAACACAGGUCUCUGCAAAAUCGAAAGAUGACGUAUAGGGGCUGACGCCUGCCCGGUGCUGGAAGGUUUAAGAGAGUGCUUAGCGUAAGCGAAGGUACGAAUUGAAGCCCCAGUAAACGGCGGCCGUAACUAUAACGGUCCUAAGGUAGCGAAAUUCCUUGUCGGGUAAGUUCCGACCCGCACGAAAGGCGUAACGAUUUGGGCACUGUCUCAACGAGAGACUCGGUGAAAUUUUAGUACCUGUGAAGAUGCAGGUUACCCGCGACAGGACGGAAAGACCCCAUGGAGCUUUACUGCAGUUUGAUAUUGAGUGUUUGUACCACAUGUACAGGAUAGGUAGGAGCCGUAGAAGUCGGACGCUAGUUUCGACAGAGGCGCUGGUGGGAUACUACCCUUGUGUUAUGACCACUCUAACCCGCACCACUAAUCGUGGUGGGAGACAGUGUCAGAUGGGCAGUUUGACUGGGGCGGUCGCCUCCUAAAGAGUAACGGAGGCGCCCAAAGGUUCCCUCAGAAUGGUUGGAAAUCAUUCGCAGAGUGUAAAGGCACAAGGGAGCUUGACUGCGAGACCUACAAGUCGAGCAGGGACGAAAGUCGGGCUUAGUGAUCCGGUGGUUCCGCAUGGAAGGGCCAUCGCUCAACGGAUAAAAGCUACCCUGGGGAUAACAGGCUUAUCUCCCCAAGAGUCCACAUCGACGGGGAGGUUUGGCACCUCGAUGUCGGCUCGUCGCAUCCUGGGGCUGUAGUCGGUCCCAAGGGUUGGGCUGUUCGCCCAUUAAAGCGGCACGCGAGCUGGGUUCAGAACGUCGUGAGACAGUUCGGUCCCUAUCCGUCGCGGGCGUUGGAAAUUUGAGAGGAUCUGUCCUUAGUACGAGAGGACCGGGAUGGACUUACCGCUGGUGUACCAGUUGUCUCGCCAGAGGCAUCGCUGGGUAGCUAUGUAGGGAAGGGAUAAACGCUGAAAGCAUCUAAGUGUGAAGCCCACCUCAAGAUGAGAUUUCCCAUUUCUUUAAGAAAGUAAGAUCCCUGAGAGAUGAUCAGGUAGAUAGGUCAGGAGUGGAAGUGCAGUGAUGUACGGAGCGGACUGAUACUAAUCGAUCGAGGACUUAACCAAAAA
rnacentral:rRNA from 1 species